GACGAACGCUGGCGGCGUGCCUAAUACAUGCAAGUAGAACGCACAGUUUAUACCGUAUCUUGCUACACCAUAAACAGUGAGUUGCGAACGGGUGAGUAACGCGAAGGUAACCUGUCUGGUAGCGGGGGAUAACUAAUGGAAACGAUAGCUAAUAUAGCAUAUUAUUGUUUAUUCCAUGAUAAUUGAGAGAAAGAUGCUAUUGCAUCACUACCAGAUGGAUAUGCGUUGUAUUAGCUAGUAGGUGAGGUAAGGGCCCACCUAGGCGCGGAUACAUAGCCGGCCUGGGAGGGUGAUCGGCCACACUGGGACUGGGACACGGCCCAAACUCCUACAGGAGGCAGCGCUAGGGGAUCUUCGGCAAAGGGCGCAAGUCUGACCCAGCAACGCCGCGGGAGUGAAAAAGGUUUUCGGAUCGUAAAGCUCUGUUUUAUGAGAAAAACAGGUGGGAGGUUGGAACGUUCACGCUGUGACGGUAUCUUACCAAAAAGGGACGGCUAACUACGUG
rnacentral:rRNA from 1 species